rnacentral:rRNA from 1 species
CCUACGGGAGGCAGCAGUAGGGAAUAUUGCUCAAUGGGGGAAACCCUGAAGCAGCAACGCCGCGUGGAGGAUGAAGGUUUUCGGAUUGUAAACUCCUUUUGUUAGAGAAGAUAAUGAUGGUAUCCAACGAAUAAGCACUGGCCAACACCGUGCCAGCAGCCGUGGCACUACGGAGGGUGCAAGCGUUACUCGGAAUCACUGGGCGUAAAGAGCGCGUAGGCGGGUUAGCAAGUCAGAUGUGAAAUCCUAUGGCUUAACCAUAGAACUGCAUUUGAAACUGUUAGUCUAGAGUAUGGGAGAGGUAGGUGGAAUGCUUGGUGUAGGGGUAAAAUCCGUAGAGAUCGAGAAGAAUACUGAUUGCGAAGGCGACAUGCUGGAACCUAACUGACGCUGAUGCACGAAAGCGUGGGGAGCGAACAGGAUUAGAUACCCGGGUAGUC